rnacentral:rRNA from 1 species
GAUGAACGCUGGCGGCGUGCCUAAUACAUGCAAGUCGAACGGAGUCGGUUUGGAAAGUCCUUCGGGACUGAAAUUAUCGACUUAGUGGCGGACGGGUGAGUAACGCGUGAGCAAUCUGCCUUUGAGAGGGGGAUAACAGUCGGAAACGACUGCUAAUACCGCAUAAUGCAUUUGGACCGCAUGAUCUGAAUGCCAAAGAUUUUAUCGCUCAAAAGAUGAGCUCGCGUCCCAUUGGCUGGUUGGCGGGGUAACGGCCCACCAAGGCGACGAUGGGUAGCCGGACUGAGAGGUUGAACGGCCACAUUGGGACUGAGACACGGCCCAGACUCCUACGGGAGGCAGCAGUAGGGAAUAUUGCGCAAUGGGGGCAACCCUGACGCAGCAACGCCGCGUGAUUGAUGAAGGUCUCGGGAUUGUAAAAAUCUUAAUCAGGGACGAAAAACGACGGUACCUAG